GUCGAGCGAACUGAUUAGAAGCUUGCUUCUAUGACGUUAGCGGCGGACGGGUGAGUAACACGUGGGCAACCUGCCUGUAAGACUGGGAUAACUUCGGGAAACCGAAGCUAAUACCGGAUAGGAUCUUCUCCUUCAUGGGAGAUGAUUGAAAGAUGGUUUCCGCUAUCACUUACAGAUGGGCCCGCGGUGCCCUCCCCUUGUUUGGCGACGUGAUGGCUCACCAAUGGGACGAAAUGCAUG
rnacentral:rRNA from 1 species